rfam:Otolemur garnettii contig058518, whole genome shotgun sequence.
GCGCCUGUGGCUCAAAAGGGUAGUGCGCUGGCCCCAUAUGCCAGAGGUGGCGGGUUCAAACCCAGCCCAGCCCCG